rnacentral:rRNA from 1 species
CGCCUUGCCAGCCCGCUCAGAAACUUAAAUGAAUUGACGGGGGCCCGCACAAGCGGAGGAGCAUGUGGUUUAAUUCGAUGAUACGCGAGGAACCUUACCUGGGCUCGAACGUAAGAUGACUGUAGGUGAAAGCUUACAUCUCUUCGGAGCAUUUUACGAGGUGCUGCAUGGUUGUCGUCAGCUCGUGCCGUGAGGUGUCGGGUUAAGUCCCAUAACGAGCGCAACCCCUACCUUUAGUUGCCAUCAGGUUAAGCUGGGGACUCUAAAGGAACUGCCUACGCAAGUAGUGAGGAAGGUGGGGAUGACGUCAAAUCAGCACGGCCCUUACGUCCAGGGCUACACACGUGCUACAAUGGCCGGUACAAAGGGCAGCUACCUGGUGACAGGAUGCAAAUCUCCAAAGUCGGUCUCAGUUCGGAUCGGAGUCUGCAACCCGACUCCGUGAAGUUGGAUUCGCUAGUAAUCGCGCCAUCAGACCAUGGCGCGGUGAAUACGUUCCCGGGCCUU